AUCGCUUCUCGGCCUACUGGCUUAGAUCGUAUGGAGACAUCUGUUCUUAUCAGCUUAAUAUCUGAUACGGACCUAAUUGGUCCAAGAUAUUAUACUUAUUUUUGAAAAUGGUGUUCCUUCACAGAGCUUGCUUUGGGGACGCUAGGGCUAGCCCGGCAUUGCACUACCUCCGGGACUGGCUCGUCCCCC